AGUGAACGCUGGCGGCGUGCCUAAUACAUGCAAGUCGAACGGAGUGGCGCACGGGCGAGUAAUGUAUAGCUAAUCUGCCCUACACUAGAGGACAACAGUUGGAAACGGCUGCCAAUACUCUAUAGUGUAGGAAGAGGCUAUAUUGUAUCAGCUAGUUGGUGAGGUAAUGGCUCACCAAGGGUAGGACGGAUAACUGGUCUGUGAGGAUGAUCAGUCACACUUGAACUGAGACGCGGUGCGGACUCCUACGGGAGGGAGCAGUAGGGGAUAUUGCACAGUGGGGGAAGCGCUGAAGCAGCACCGGCGCGUGAAGGAUGACACUUUUGGGGGCGUAAACUCCUUUUGUUAGGGAAGCGGUACCUAACGAAUAAGCACCGGCUAACUCCGUGCCAGCAGCCGCGGUAAUUC
rnacentral:rRNA from 1 species